UUCCGGUGCAAGUGUGUAGGUAUGCUCCGCAGGCAAAUCCGCGGAGAUGAGCCGAGACACGAGUCCGUGGGCGCAAGCCCUGAAGCUGUUGAGCCACGGCUGCCAAGAAAAGCUUCUAAGUUUAGAUCGCGCGAACCGUACCGCAAACCAACUCAGGUGGAUGGGAUGAAUAAUCCAAGGCGCUCGAGAGAACUCUGGCCAAGGAACUCGGCAAAUUGACCCCGUACCUUCGGAAUAAGGGGUGCUCCCCACGGUGAGACAAAUUCUUGUUCAGCCCCGGGGAGCCGCAGAGAAAUGGUGGUGGCGACUGUUUACUAAAAACAUAGGUCUGUGCGAAGUCCUACAGACGACGUAUACGGACUGACGCCUGCCCGGUGCCGGAAGGUUAAAAGGAGGAGUCAGCGCAAGCGAAGCUCCGAUUUGAAGCCCCGGUAAACGGCGGCCGUAACUAUAACGGUCCUAAGGUAGCGAAAUUCCUUGUCGGGCAAGUUCCGACCUGCACGAAUGGCGUAACGAUCUCCACGCUGUCUCGGCCAGAGACUCGGUGAAAUUGAAGUCGCGGUGAAAAUGCCGUGUACCCGCAGAAAGACGGAAAGACCCUGUGCACCUUUACUAUAGCUUGACAUUGGGUUUUGAACCUGCAUGUGUAGGAUAGGUGGGAGGCUGUGAAAGCUGUACGCCAGUAUGGCCGGAGCCACCCGUGAAAUACCACCCUUGUUUGUUCAGGACCCUAACUCGCAGCUGUAAUCCAGCGCGAAGACAGUGUCUGGUGGGUAGUUUGACUGGGGCGGUCGCCUCCUAAAGAGUAACGGAGGCAUGCAAAGGUUCCCUCAGGCUGAUUGGAAACCAGCCGUUGAGUGCAAGCGCAUAAGGGAGCUUGACUGCAAGAGAGACAUCUCGAACAGAUACGAAAGUAGGUGCUAGUGAUCCGGUGGUCCGAAUGGAAGGGCCAUCGCUCAUUGGAUAAAAGGUACGCCGGGGAUAACAGGCUGAUCGCAUCCAAGAGUUCUCAUCGACGAUGCGGUUUGGCACCUCGAUGUCGGCUCAUCACAUCCUGGGGCUGAAGCAGGUCCCAAGGGUACGGCUGUUCGCCGUUUAAAGUGGUACGCGAGCUGGGUUUAAAACGUCGUGAGACAGUUGGUCCCUAUCUUCUGUGGGCGUAGGAGAAUUGAGAGGGUUUGUCCCUAGUACGAGAGGACCGGGAUGAACGCACCACUGGUGGAUCAGUUGUCGCGCCAGCGGCAUAGCUGAGUAGCUAUGUGCGGAAUGGAUAACCGCUGAAAGCAUCUAAGCGGGAAGCAAGCCUCGAGAUAAGUUCUCCCUGUCGCAAGACACUAAAGGGCCGAUGAAGACUACAUCGUUGAUAGGCCGGAGGUGGAAGCGCUGCGAAGCGUGGAGCUGACCGGUACUAAUAGCCCGUGCGCCU
rnacentral:rRNA from 1 species